AUAUUAUGUAUCUGACACUAGCGCACUGUUAAUGUGAGGAUAUGAGUGUAUCAAUGUAACAUUAGCAAUUGAGAAUAAAAUGAUUCUGAGAUUGGACUCUUUAGUAUAUCUUUGUCCAGUAACUUCGUUAUGUGCAGUGAGCCACAGUAAACCUAAAUAUAGACCACCCCAAGGUUUCAGUUCGCUUCGUUCUAACCAGGCUCUUGCUGCUGAAACAUGGUUUUGCGAGUUGGGUUUUGAGAAAUUGCUCCUGUUCAGACAGAACUCCAGCAAUCUCACAAAAACAUACAAUUUGCCCAGACCUUUAACUACAAAAUGCAUGCGUUUAGACUCCUAUUUCUUCUAACAAACCAAAACUGAGCUCAACAUAUAGCAACUAAAAACUCACAUUCAGACCAGCCAAAAAUGACUUCAAGACUAGUUUGUGCGAGUUUCAUAUUACGUUGAUCGACCUUAGAUUCAUUAAUCCGGGCUACCAGUUGUAGAAUAUUUAUAAAUAUUUACUUUCUUUGUAUGUGUACGUUAAAUAUUUUGUAUAGAUGUAGGAGAUACUUUUCCUAUUAGCACUACAAUUGUAUCUCUAUAUAAACAUCUAAUAUGGAGAAGAAUAUACAUCGAAGCAUACAAAAUUAUAUUGAAUCAUUAUUUUCUACUUGGCAUCAGAGCUUGUCAGGUUCGAUCCUUUUUUGAAUGGAUCCGGCUCCUCUAAAGUGAGCAAGCCAUAAAGUUAGUAAAUUUCAUAAAAUCUUUAACCUACGUCUAAUCUAAUGGCUCAAAAAUAUUCACAUGCAUCAAUUCAUUACAAAAAAUGUUGAAAAUUCUUUUAUAUAUUGACAAUAACUUUAAAUGCUUUAUUUCUCUUCUCUUUUUUUUCUAUUUUUAAUUUAACCUCCAUCUUUGUUCUCUUCUGUAAACCAUGGAUUUUUCAGCAAAGCAAAGUUGCAAAGAUUCAUGGUGCAUAUGAAUGCUUCGGUGCUUAAUUAUAAGAUUAUUGUAAUAUUCAUAAACAAUUGUGAUUACCUUAACCGAAUUAUAAACCAAAAGCAUUAGAAAAAAAUUGGGUAGAUCGAUCCUACAGUUCAAUUAUAUACAGAAAAACCAACUAUCUUGGAAAACCCAUGGCCAUCAUCUCUAGAAAUCAAUAUAGAAUGCAAAUUACGGAGACUAGAGUCUAGAGACUACAGGAAGAAAAACUUGUGAAACCACUUUAGAAUGAAUGAAACGAAGGCUUUUCAUAUAUUCUUUUCUAUUAAAAACUUAUCAUCAAGUUUAUUUAUCAAUUCAGAAUUUCAGAUAUGAAGAUUCGCUUAAUCAAAGAUCGAUGAAGAUAUAUAUCACGAUAUACAACCACUUUUUAAUUGUUUUUUUUUUUUCUGAGAAAAAAAGAAUUUUAUAGAAAUAAGUGAAUAGAUUUUCAAAUAAAUGAUUUUAUUUAACGUAGAUAUAUUUGAACCGUUAGAUUAGAUGGAGGUUAGAGAUUUUAUGAAAUUUACUAACUUCAUGACUUGCUCACUUUAGAGGAGCCGGAUCCUUUUUGAAUUUACACCCAAAACACCACAAAUCGCUGCGUACCAGAAACCCCACAAAUUACACAAAUUCCCAAAUCCCAAAACCAAAGCUAAUUUCCAAAUCACACCACAAACAAAUCGUUGCAUACAUCAAAAUCAUAAUUCCCGAAUCCUUAAAUCUCAAAAACCAAACCUCCAAAAAUGGUACACCAAAUCAACUACCAUACCGUCGCACCAUGCCGGUCUCCAUACAAACCAAAUUCAUAUGUGAACUCAAAAUGUCCGCUAUGUGGAGUAUUAGGUCAUAGCAAACAACGUUGCUUUGAAACAAUUAGGUACCCGAAUUGGUGGGAUUUCACCCUGAAACCUCAGAAGAAUAAAACAGAUGGGAGCAUUGACAAGUAUAAAGAACGGUUGGUUGCCAAGGGAUACACCAAGCGAUAUGGCAUUGAUUAUGAAGAAACGUUUGUGCCUGUAGAAAAGAUCAACACUGUUUGAAUCUUGAUUUCACUUGCAGCAACUAAAGAUUAGCCUCUACGACAGUUUGAUGUGAAGAAUGUUUUACUCAAUGGAAACUUGGAAGAAGAGAUGUGUAUGGACAUGCCCCCAGGAGUUAAAUGUAGACCUUGCGAUGUCAGAAAGGUUUGUAAGUUGAAGAAGUCUCUGUAUGGUUUGAAGCAGUCUCCUAGAGCUUGGUUUGGAAGAUUUUCCAAAUCAAUGAAGACAUUUGGUUAUAGACAAAGCAACUCGGAUCACACUUUGUUCAUCAAGCGUAAUCAGGGUAAGAUCACCGCUUUGAUUGUGUAUGUUGAUGAUAUGAUUGUUACAAGAGAUGACUAAAGGAGAUGGAGACUCUACAAAAGUAUCUUUCAAAGGAGUUUGAGAUGAAGGACCUUGGACAGUUAAAGUAUUUUCUCGAAAUUGAAGUUGCAAGGUCAAAGAAUGGAAUUUCUUUAUCCCAGCGAAAGUAUGUACUUGACUUGUUAGCUGAAACUGGCAUGCUUGACUGCAAGCUUGUUGAGACACCAAUUGAGAUGAAUCACAACCUUGCCAUCUAUCCAAAUCAAGUGCCAACUGAUAAAAGAAGGUACCAACGUCUAGUAUGGAGACUUAUUUAUCUUUCUCAUACUAGACCUGAUAUUGCUUAUACUGUGAGUGUGGUUAGUCAAUUUAUGUAUUGUCCUAACGAAGAGCAUAUAGAUGCAGUGUAUCGUAUUUUGAAGUAUCUUAAGAUGGCACCUGGAAAAGGCUUGUUGUUUGAAAAGAAGGGUGAAUUGGAAGUUGUAGGGUACACAGAUGCUGAUUGGGCUGGUGAUAAGACUGACAGACGAUCUACAUCUGGGUAUUUUACAUUUGUUAAAGGAAACCUUGUAACUUGGCGUAGUAAGAAGCAGAAGGUUGUUGCUAGGUCAAGUGCUGAAGCAUAAUUUUGAGGUAUGGCACAUGGAGUUUGUGAGAUGUUAUGGAUUCGUAAUGUGUUGAAAGAAUUGGGUUUUAAACUCAGACAACCUAUGGACUUGCAUUGUGAUAACACGUCUGCAAUUGAAAUUGCUCAUAAUCUUGUUCAAUAUGACCAGACCAAGCAUAUGGAGGUAGAUCGACAUUUUAUCAAGGAAAACUUGGACAGGAAAAUAAUCCGUUUCCCUUUUGUGUAUACAGAAGACCAAUCGGCAGAUGUUCUUACGAAACGAAAGGAGUGUCAAGGAAAGUGUCGACUCUGUUGGCAAGUUGGGCAUGAUUGAUAUCUAUGCACCAACUUGAGGGGGAGUGUAGAAUAUUUGUAAAUAUUUAUUUUCCUUGUAUAUGUAGGUUAAAUAUUUUGUAUAGAUGUAUGAGAUACUUUUCCUAUUAGCACUACAAUUGUAUCUCUAUAUAAACCUCCAAUAUGGAGAAGAAUAUACAUCGAAACAUACAAAACCAUAUUGGAUCAUUAUUUUCUACUCCAGUCACUUGUACCAUAGUUCUCAUAACCCACAAGCUUCUCAACCUUUUCAAUCAAAUGUUGUUAUUUCGGAGCAUGUAGAACCUCUGAGACAACCGCCGGGGACUGUUAAUCACAUCCAUAUCCUCUAAAUUGUAGAUUCUAUCCAUUUGUGAAGAGGUCGUCGGGGACGGUUGAUAUGAAUAGAAUGGAACAUCACAUUGCGAAAUCUCUUGUAUAUUUAGCGUACGAAUCAUAAUACACAUUUGUAUUUAGCAAAAAGCUUGAUUCUAAUCAAAAUGGAACUAUCAGAAACCCGAAAUCAUCCGAGACGUUAAUUGCUUGUAUUAAGACUUGGCUAUGACAUUAUUAAGAGAUACCCUCUUGAAAGCUCGAGAGGAGAAUUGAUCUCAUAUCCUUGUGAUGGAAUGCAAGAGAAUCCGAACUAUUGAUCAACGUUGUUACAGGAAAAUACCAAAUUCCCUGGCAGCUUAACUCUAUCAUUCGAGACACUAGACAAAAAUCUUCUACCUUCUCCUCUAUUUCCUUCAUUAAUUCUUAGAAAAGCAAUUUUUGGGGCUAAUGCUAUCGCGACCUCUGGUCAUGCAUCAGAUUAGCUUAUGUUAUGACAUACAUCAUCUUUAACUUGAUUUCAUAUGAUAUGUUGAGAAACACUCCUACUAGACGAUCAGUACUUUUUUUUUUGUUUUUUGGGUAAAUGAAGUGAUUCAUUUAAGGGGAAAAACCCAAGAUAGAGUACAUAACAAUAUCAGGAAAGUAAUCAAGCAACUAAUCUCUACAAGAGCUAGCAAUAGCUGACUACCCCUAAAAACUUAAAACUAAGAACAUAGGCCCAGUAAAUGGCCCAAAACAUUACAAAACCCUAGCAACAACUGUAGAGCAACCAGAGCAGCCGCCGCCAACGAAGGAGGGUCGUCGAACUCACGCCGGAAGCAACACAACAUGGAUUUUGUAAUGAUGUUUCCGUUCCAAACGAAUCUCAAAUCAUAAACCUUAGGAGACCCAAUAUCCAAAUUCUCUUCACCAUAGACACACAAAACUGGAUGAAACCAUGGCUGCCGAGAUGGUACCAAGAACCAGAGCGGAGACCAAGAACAACGACAAAACCGAUGGAGAAUGGGGGUGAAACACCCAUGCGUGAUUACCCAUACUCGCCAAGGUAAGUGACAUGCACUUUAAACUCGCAGCCAUACGUAUCCUCACGACGCUUAUGUGUAGAGGCAGAAGAGAUGAUAUGGGAUUGGGUAUUCAUAGAUCUGCAAACAAAGAGAUUAAUUGACAAAAUAUACAGAAAUAAAAGGAAAAUCGAGGAAACAAGGUCCUCCUGGUCUGGACAAAAGCCAGAAAAUCACCACAAAGGGAACAAAAGAUCACAGAAGGAUCAAUAGAUCACCACAAGGGUGAGAAAAUGCUGGAUAAACCAGAAAAACAAGCUGAAGAUCAGUGAGAUUGGUGGAACCCCCAGAGCUAGAAAAGCCUCCCCCAACUCUUCUCUUGUCGAUCUAGAUCCGGAUAGAUCAAGAUCUGGAUGAGAGAGUGGGGGAGGAGAAGGCUGGAACUUAGAUCUGGUUUCUCCCGAUCAGACUAAUAUGUAAUGAUACUAAUGAUUUCAAAAUGCGAAGUCUUGUAAGUACAAUUACGAUCGUAACAGAAUUUUUAAUUUUUGUUUUGAUAUCACCACUAUUAUGACCUAUGUUUAUCGAUGGAUAGCUACCAUCAUUGCUUACCUCAAAGUUAUCGACAAUCUGGCUUGAUAACAGACUCAAAAGUAAACUUAACCGUUAACAAUAUCAAAAUUAUAGAGACUAUGAAGUAUGAACUAGCAUUUGAUCAGGCCAGGGGAAGCCCCCUGGGAGUAGGAUGAUCUAAAAGCGAUGUGAAUAAAUCAAGAAAAGAGCUUGACACGCUCAGAUCCUCUUUUGGUAACGUCGUAUUUAGUUACUUCUAUUUCUCUCAUAUUAAAGAUUCUAAGAAAUCUUUACGAAAAUACUAGUACCGUCCGACUUGUCAUUCAUAAAACGGGUUAUGGUGUGAUGUUUCCUCCAUCUGCUUUGAUAUAUUGAAUUACCAUUAGAUAUACACAGAUAUACCAAAGAAAGUAAAAUUAACGGAAGUCGUCAGUCAAACGAGACUAGUCUUAGUCUAGGCAGUUCAACACCAGUGUCCAGAUGCAUCACGGCAACGUGUAGAAGUGACGUACACGUGGCAAAACGCUGUUGAAAGAGAGAAACACGUGUCGGGAAGUAGGUGGCACCACCUGACUUUCUGGAAACUGCUCCAAUUGAAAUUAGUUUCCAGUUUUGGUUCAGAAAGGUUGAUCAAUGUGGUGACGACACUCUUCUUACUUGCUGCGUCUGCACAAACCUAACAUACUCGCUGCCUCUUUGCUCCAUUUUUGUUUUUAGGUCGCUACUCUUUGCCCCAUUAUACACCCUGCACUAUUUUUCUUCAAAAUAAAUGUGAGAAAAACAUAGCACACUUUCACCAUUUAGGUACACAAAGAAAACCAUUUGGGUUUAGAAGGGUACCUUUAAUCAUUUCACGGACUUUCGUGUUCACCGAUUGAAGUAAUCAACUAAAACAAUGAUGCUAGUUUCUGUUAAAAUCCAACGUCUUAUAAUCAUAGGGUAACUCUAGAAGUAUAUAUACAAUGGGUAUAUUAACUCUAGAUAACCGUUGCAGUUUAUCUACAAACAUGAAGUUUGAGAUUCAUAAGAGCUGUCUAUAAGUGAUGUUGAACAAUAAUGUUGAACCACUAACCAGUUAUGUCAUUCAUAAAAUAGUUGUUUUAUAACAAAGUAGUAUCGUCACAUUUCUCUAUUUAUCAUCCUAAAAUGGUAGAAGAGUAUUUCCAAAGAUAUAUUAUCGAUCCUCAAUAGUAUGUCAUUGUCUCCCUUGUCAACAUUUUCCAGCAUGUUUUGAAAAUGGUUUCAUUUAAACUUUGAAGGAAUAGCAGUGGAAUAUGUGGUUUCAUUGUUUAGUGUUCCCAAUACCUCAAUCACAGCCUUACGUAACUCUCUGCCAGAAAACUCGGUUUUAUUAUCCGUCUUUAUCAGCCUUGCGCAAGUUUCACAUAUACACAUGUGAAAUGCUUCAACUGGCUUUGGAACAUAAUGCAUUAUCACUUUAACAAUUUCAGAAUUCAAACUUAUAAUGAAGAAAUACACCCAACAACGAGCAAGACUUUAACUCAAGUGGUGCAUAUGUGGCUCGGCUAGUAAUUUUGGUCGUUUAACCGACAUCUCCUCUUACAAACACAGAGCUAGGCGAUUAGAGAUCUUUCUAUGUCGACCGUAGACGCGAGACUACAAUAGAACUCUGUGCUCCAUUCUUACACGUUCUUAACAAACUCCCCCAAAUUUGCCAACGAAAACAAAAAGGACCCAAAAACCUCGCUCCUAUAUAAACACAUUUCCAAAACCCUCCGUCUCUCUCUAAACCCCAGCACAACAUAACACAACAACACAACACAAACGCAUCACACAACCUCAGAGCGACCCGACCAAACCGCCACCAUGUCCGGCGCUCUGAGAAGAAACACUACCCUCACCCGCCUCUUACACAACCACACGCGCCACCGCCCGAUCCCCACCUCUCCGGCGGCUCAGUUCCAGACCAAAGCCUACCUCCGAGCCCCCAAUGUCUUCCGCAAAGCCAAAGACAACUACUCCCUCCUCUCCUCCUCCGCCUUCUUCUCCGCCAAGCCCUCCUCCUCUUCCUCCGCCGCGUCUUCCUCCACCGGCCUCGUCGCCUGGUAUCUCGGCCUCGUCAAGAACCGCCCCGUUCUCACCAAGAGCAUCACCGCCGCCCUCAUUUACACCGCCGCCGAUUUGUCCUCCCAGGUCAGCACAUGUGCCUGUUACCCUCGUCCAUUCUAUUAUGUUGGUUUAUGUCAUUGGUUUUUUUUUUUUUUUUUUUUUUGAUGAUGAAUGGAUGAUGUUGAUGAUCAGACUAUUGCGAAAUCGGAUUCUUAUGAUCCUGUGAGGACAUUAAGGAUGGCCGCAUAUGGGAUGGUGAUUUUGGGGCCUUCGCUGCAUUUUUGGUUCAAUUUCAUGGCCAAAACGUUUCCGAAACGUGAUAUGUUAUCGACAUUGAAGAAAAUGGCUAUGGGGCAGGGAGUGUAUGGACCUACUAUGACUGUUGUGUUCUUCUCUGUCAAUGCGUUUUUACAAGGUAUUGUGUCAUAGUUCAUUGAUGCAUUGUUGUUUAAAGGUUACAUUUUUGGGUGAUGAAUGUGCUGUGAAGGUUCAAGGAUUAUAUGUAGUUUGCUUUUGGCUCGAUUUUGUAUGAGUACACAGUGUUGGUUUGACAAAAAGUGUAAACUUUGCACAUUUUAUGACUGCAAGUUUUGGAUUAAAAAGGUUGGGUUCUCGAAUGAGCUCUUUAAGGUUGUUUUAUUUAUUAAUAUGUGACUAUCAUGAUUGAGCUGUGUAAUUUAUCCUUGCAGGCUCUUGAAUCCAAACAGAGUGAAACAAGUCUAGUUAUUUUGAGUUUGCUUUUGGAACCUGUUUGUAGGGAAGAAGGGGUAUAGUGAAUGAUGGUAUAGAUUUAUGUUUCUAUGUAAUGGAUUCUUGAAGCAAAGCUUUGUUAGGAGAUUUGUUGUUUUUGUUUUGUUACAUAUAGUGAAUGAUUUUUUUAAGCUUACUGUUGAGUAAUCUUUUCAUUUUGUUGCAUAUAAUCUCUUUUGUUAUAUUGAAUCGAGUGUGCUGAAAGAUGUUCUACUCUAGACAAGGUUUGUAGUUGAAGUUUAUAUGAGAUCUAAGUAGUUGCCAUGAUUGCUGAUCUCAGGUGAAAAUGGUGGAGAAGUUUUCGAUCGUUUAAAGCGAGACUUGGUUCCUACAUUGUUGAGUGGUGUUAUGUAUUGGCCAAUGUGUGAUUUCAUCACAUUUAGAUUCAUUCCUGUCCAUUUGCAGGUAUGUACAAUAUUAUUGUUUAUUUUUUUCUCAUUCAAAUUCUGGAUUUGGAAUGGCUUUAUUUCAAAGGGUUGUGCUGCUGGAUUUAUUCAUGCAAUCAAAGGUUUCACCUGCCACACACAAAACUUUGGUAUAUGGAUUAUGUGCCAGUUAAGUGUGCCAGCAGAUUGAACAAUUUGUGAUUGGAUUACUUCACCUGGUCAUAUGCACUCAUGCCAUGUACUCGAGUGAUUUGAACAAUAUGUGAAUUAAUUUCUGAACUUUGUUUAUGAUGUCCUCAUUUGACAGACAUUAGUGAGCAAUGGAUUUUCAUAUCUAUGGACCAUUUAUUUGACAUACAUGGCAAGCCUGGAGAAAGCAAGUGCAGUAGCUAUUGAUUGACUGUAGUUGCCUUUUUCGCUCGUCUUCAAGAUUUAGACUUUUCUCCACGAACUUGCUUGGAAGUUGCUCGUGAUGCGACAUGGUAAACCCUCGCAGAAGUGCUAAUGUGACAUCCAUAGCCCAAGCAUGUUUGAAGCUGAAGCUAUGACACUAAUUUCAAAUUAGACCAAGUAAAUUCAUUGGUGAUCAUGUUUAGCUACCUGUAAAACAUUCGUAUACAUGAUGCUUUUAUGUUCUUGGACCCAUGUUUAAGGGGUUUGUAAAGUGGUGGGUUAAUGUUAUUGAAGACACUUUGGAACUAUCAGUCACAGUAUGUUCUUGGAAGAAAUGCUUGCAGAAGUAGAGAUCUUGGCUGUUGUCUACCUCAUAAUUCAUGAUGUCAUGCAAUUGAGUAAUAUAAAAACAGGUUGAAACUCUGAGAUGGAUAAAUGGCAAGAUUAAGUUAUUGAAUACACAAUCCCUUAACAUUUGUAGUAAAAACCACCAACUAAAGUGGAAAGUCCACUUAGCCUUGUAGAAUUCAGCAGAUUUGCUUUGCAAAAUCAAGUGGUGGAAAAAGAGGCUAAUCUGAAAUCAAAGUAUCAAACACCAAAGUGAUAUGCAUGAACUUGUUUCCAGACAGUUGACGAUUCUACAACUCUUGCUGUGUCACACCAAAUGGCAGAACAUAUCAGUUUAGUAUUAGAGAAUCCGAAUAAGAAUCUCAGAAGUAUACCGGUUCAAAGACCUUCUUUUUUUACACACUUUUUGACACUAUUUUAUAGCUAUUAGAUUUUAAAACUUUUAAAAGUCUAGAUUAAUUAUCAAUAUAAUGUCAACUCACAAGAAAAUGAUGCGGCAGGUGACAUGUUUAAUUAAAAAAAAAAAACGCAUCCAAUUCUAACUUGAAAAAUCAAAAUCAAAUUGUACACAAUAAAUAAAAUAAGAACGUCAGAAGAAAAAGAACCAUUCACAUACAAAUGAGGUCUGGAACCAUUCAUAUUGAGGUCUAGAGUUUCUCAGGUACAGAUAGACUCUGAAAUUGUGCUCCAUAAAAGAGUUGGACCGAAGGUUCAGAUACUGUAAAUUAUGCAGCAUGCCUGAGGAGAUGGGCACCAUAUCAUUUGUACAACAUAUAUAAGAACGUCAAAAGAAGAACAUAUAUAAGUUGCUCCACACCGAGCAACAUCCAAAUCCCCAUCUAUCCAAAAUAUUCAUCACUUUUCCAUCGACAAAGCCAUCACCAAGGAAACAAAACACUUGUGAUCGUAGAAAUUGUCCAAAGCAUUACCGUCGUCACAUUUUCCAUCGACAAACGCAAACCCAUCACCAAGAAAAAAAAAAAUAACAAUCUUGAUCAUUGAAAUUGUAAUGGGUAUGCCUAAUGACGUUCUUCUUUUUCGACUGAAGUUCUUCUUUUGAUGUUCUUUUGUUUUUUUCUUUUUAUUACGAUUUUNNNNNNNNNNNNNNNNNNNNGUUUUUUUAAUAAAGAAAAGUAUAAUCUAAUUUGUUAUGAAAAUAAAUAGUCAUAGUCACAUCACUUUCUUGUGUGUUGACAUUAUAUUAAUAAUUAAUAUAGACUAUUAAAAGUUUUAAAAUUUGACGUCCACGAAUGAGUGUCAUAAAAUAUGUAUAAAAAAAAAAGGACCCUUGAACCAGACCCUAGUUCAAUUACAAAAACAGUACAAAAGACCAACACAACAUCAAGAGUUUCUUGAAAACUGGUAGCCUAACUGCGACAAAUGCUGUGUGAGGUCCAUGUAGAAAAAUACACCACAAACUUUGGAUUUCACUAUCAACUAUUGGCAGUCUUCAGAUGUAAAUGGAUCCCCCAGUCGCUGCUCCUGAUUUAAACGGCCACCAGUUGAGUGCCUGCACAGAAGUGAAACGGUACCGAACAUUCUUAUCGAUUGCCAACUUGAGUACAUACACAGCAGGCUAUUCACCAGCUUGUCGUCAAGAAAGUCCUCAACUGUAACAAGCACGAACAGACAACAGAUAUUUCAGGACAUAAUCAAUAAUCCUGGCAGUCAUUCCUAGAAAAAGGAAAAUUUUCAUACUAGGAGUAAAUGUAAUCUGUUCAAGAUCAAACAACGGAAUUAGCAAAUAGCACGAGUAAUAUGAAGCAACACCUCUGACUCACAGAGAUAUAUCAAAAUACGUAAAAUAUCGAGCUGAAAAUAAUGUUGCAAGCAGGAACAACUAAUAUGCUUGGUGGUGAUCAAAAUCUCACCUGUUUAGACUGCAGCUUUGCUUCCAAGCUGCCUUCACCCAUAAAGAUGUUACUUGAAGAAAUUUGGCUCAAAUCAAAACAUAGUUUCUUGGCCUUAAACAUAUGAUUAUGUAAAAAACUUCAAAUGCAGUUAUAACAGCUGAGCCAGCGAAAAUCUUUGUGUAUAAAUCGGAAGAGAGAUAUGAUAAAACAGCAAAUAUUUAAAGGAAGAACCAUAUAUCCUACAUGGUUGGAUUGUUGUAACCUGGUUGAGAUUAACUAGAGAUUGACUAUGAUACCAAAUUACUACAAUGCACCAAAUGCGCCAAGAGUGUAAGAAAUAUAUCAUUUCCAGGCACCUGUUACUCAAAAAGACACUGAGAAAAUAAGCCAAGUGAGCAGGCAGGUUCAGUUCCUAGAGGAACAAGACCCUUGUAUGAAAUAAGGUAAGCACUAAGCAAUGCAUGAAAAUUAAAUAGGUAACUGUGAAUAGUGUUUUCCCAUAACUUGGCCAAUAAGAUGGAAACAAGAACAAACAGUACUUCAAGAAUAGUGUCAAAAUCUUCAAACGCUAACAAUCUCUUUCUUUGUAUCAAAAAGUUUACAUUUCAAUAUAUUAACAUGCCUCCUCCAUAACAAUUAUCAAGCCUAUAUCUAAAUCCAACCUAAUGAACUUCAUCUAUCAGUUCCCAGAUAAUCUAAAACUUAUUUCAUAUUGCAAUACAGUAACAGCUAGGAACUAAAAUUCCAUGUAAGGUUAAAGAAUUGGUUCAAUACACUGAACCAUGAAUAAAUUGAGGGUAUAAUUUCAUGUUUCAUGAUCUCAUCAACGGCUAAUUGUGUGUAUAAGGAUGCUGUCACUCUUCAUAAGCUCGCAAAGAAAUCUUCUCAAGCUGUGUGGCCCAAUCUUCACCAAGUAUUUGGGGGUUUAACUCCAUUGCUGCACGAAAAUCUACCAUAGUAGCAUACUUUGCUUCCCUUAGCAUAUCUCCCCUACCAAUCAUCCCAUUUGAACCAUGUAUGUACAGACUAUUCGGUUGCUCUUUUUCAUGCCUACUCCCAGCUAACCGAAUACAAGGUUCAAUUAACCUCUUCAGAUAAGCAUCUAAUCCGUUAUUCAAGAGGUUAAGACAGUCAGUAGAAACAGUCAUACCCUCCAUCUCCAACUUCUGCUGCAAACGACCUCUUAAUGAUCUUGUAUCAGGUAGCUCACCGCAGUUUUGACAGGUCUUAGGGCGGUAUGCACCAAAGACUGAUACAUUAUGAAGAAAUUUGCGUGAUCCACCCAAAUUCAUAGAUAUACCAAGAGGAGCCGUUACGGGACUUCGACUUUGAAUACCCGGACUUCCUGCAUCCUGUUCAACCUCUUCUCCAUCCUCCACUGAUGCAACUUCAACCGGAGGCCUGCUGCCAAGAGAAAGCAAUUCAUGCUGCUCUUGUGCUUUGGAAAUUGGUUCUUCAGAAACCAUAUUUUGCGGCUUCCCAUUUGGCACCAAAGGAAUUGGACGAUCCCGAAACUUUCGGUGGUCUCGAUUAAGUGGAGAGCGGACCUUGCGAGGGGAUUUAGGAAAGAUCGACUGAAGGCAACUCCCAGGAUACUCAUUAUCAACUUUAGCAUUAAGGCUUCCCGCUUUCUUAACUCCUCUCAAGGGUGGAGCUUUUGCAAGGCAGGCAUUCUUGAUAAUGGACUUUAUAAGCCGGUUAUGCAGAUGGAUAUUUUCCCUCCCAAUAGUCUGAUUGCAAAACUUGUCGAACUCACACUUGCUAAUCUUGGCACUAAACAAUCUCCUGAUCAUGUCAAAGUACCUCUCCGCUCUUUGAUGCCCAAUCUUCUUAAUAAUCAGAUCCUUCAGCUCCAACGUAUCGAUCCGAGAAUAGCUCUGAUUGGGCAUCAUCUUUUCCCCUCCACUUCCACUAAUUUACCAAAAUCAGAUCCUCAAUUCCUCAUUGAAAACCUUGCAUCCUCUAACAAAACCCAGAUGCCAGAAAACAAGAUCUCCAAUCCAAAACCUAAAACCCUAAAUUCCAUAGAGUGUUUCCACCUGAAGUUCACCAAAUUAGCAUCAGCAAACAAAAACCCAGAAUUUCUCAAUCAAAAUAAACAAAUCCCCAUCUACAAUUUUUACUCGAAUUACAUACACAAAUACUGUAACAAAAGUAUAACCUCCACUACUUCUGAACUUCAUUGAUGAUAAAAGUUACUAAAAAUUAUUCAGACAUUCACCAAAAGAUUAGGGGAAGCAGAAAUUGAACAAAUUAAGCAGAAAUAUGUAAAAGUAAGACAAACCCAUUUGAGAUUUGGACAUGAAUUGAAAACCCAAAAAGCGAAUUGACCAAAGAAUGAAGAAUAGAGACGCACCUGAGUUGAAUGAAGCCGAUGCUGCUGGGUUUGGCCUGGUCGAGUUUCACUGCUUUUAUUUUUCUUAUUCUUGGCUUGUUUUUUUUUUUGGGGGUUCGAUUGAUUUGGUACUUGUUACUGUUUGGAAGCGGCUCUAUAUAUUUGGUUUUGGGUUGUGUCAUAACAAGGACAGACCAAACAGGGAUUAAGGAAGGAAGUUAAGCGCUUUUUGUGUUUCGCUUCGAAGCUUCUAUUGUCGUACCACGGCACGUGCGAGCUUCUGAGUUGAGAAUUCAGAAUUGAGUUGUUCCGCUUAGGACCCGUUUGUUUGCGCCUUUUUUAUUUUUUGGGUUUCCUUUCCCUCCAUUUGUCCCUUGAAACAUAGAUAUUUUGUAAAAAAUAAAAAUAAAAAUAAAAUAUUUCAGUCAUUUUGGCUUGCAGGGCGAGACUUAAACUAAAGUAUUAUUUAGAUCAGGGUUCAAACCCACUUCCAGCCUAUCUACUCAUAUUUGGAUAUUUAGAUGGUAGGACACAAAUGCACAUAACAUAAUGAUUAGAGGAUUAUGACGGCUAUGUAAAUCUCAGGCACCUUAAUUUAAUUGAGUUUAAUUUCUUAUCAAAAAUAAAUAAAAAAUUAGAGGAUCAUGACCAAAUAAAAGUCCCAAUGAAGGAAAUGAAAAACUUAUUUCACGUUUGAGUUCUGAAAUAGCUGAGAAGAACCAACCCUUACCCACCUUCACAUUUUCUUUCCUCCUUCAGAGUUCAGAUGCCAGCAGAACUGGUAGGUAGGUGUCAUAAAUGGAUUGGUGAUGUCCAUGAGGCCAUGAGGGGGACACCAAAAGAGAUCCUGGGUUUCACAAUCAGUUAGGCUCCUUCAAAUCUGGAUUUAAAUGCCAACUGACUGCAGUUGAGUGCCUUUACACAGGUAUUCGAAUAAAUACAACAUUCUGGAAGCAAGCUAGUUUGGGGAAGUCCUGCAUUUAGCUUUUCAAGUCAUCAUCAAUAGAAGCUAGUCCCAUAGAGCAUAUGUGGACUUGCCACCCAAAUAGUGUCUCAGUGAUUAUGAAAAAUUGGAAAAGAGAUGUUGGUAUAUCUGCUACCCAGAAUUGGGAUAAGAAUCUAAUGUUAUGUUCAUCACUUUUGAAGAAGUGGGCCAAGCUAACUUUCCCGGAUUUCUCCAAGGAAACAAGCAAUGAGUUGUCCAAAAUCCAGGCAGCGUUAGACUCAGAUAUGUAUGACGUUUCUAGUGUAAUAUCAGAGGCAUCAAACAAUAUCCUAAAUUGGUGGAAUUACGAAGAAAUUUAUUGGAAACAGUGCUCCCGGAUUUCUUGGCUUGCUCAUGAUUAUGCAUAGAAGGCACAACAAGAUUCUACGAAUAAAGGACAAUGGUGGGGAAUGGUUAUUGGAGGAACGACAAAUAGUGAAUCACCUAAAUGGUUUCUUCAGAGAAAUGUAUCAAGCUUCGUCCUCGGAGCAUGUUGAUGAAGUUCUGGGUUUUGUAAACAAGGUGGUCACUCAAGAAAUGAAUGAUAUUCUUCUUGCUGACAUAAGUCUAGAUGAGAUUAAAGAAGCUGUGUUCAGUUUGAGUCCGCAGAAAGCUCCUGGUCCUGAUGGUUUCUCUGGAUCUUUUUAUAGAACUUAUUGGGAUAUAGUCAAGUCUCUCCUGGUGGAAGCUAUCACAGAUUCUUUUCAAGCUCAAACUAUAUUUGGUAAGUUCAACCAUACCUUUAUAGUGCUCAUUCCAAAAGUUGAAGCUCCUGAACAUGCUUCAAAUUCAGACCUAUUGCUCUGUGUAAUUUUGCAUAUAAAAUCUUGAUGAAGAUCAUCUCAAAUAGGCUAAAGCCUAUGAUGCCUAACCUGAUCUCGGAAAACCAAUCAGCCUUUGUAGAGGGGAGUCAAAUUCAAGACAAUACGGUGAUAGCCCAUGAGUGUUUCCACCAUCUUAAACUUCUGAGAUCAAAAGGUGAUGAGGAAUUGGCUUUAAAAUUGGACAUGAAUAAAGCAUAUGAUAGAGUGGAGUGGAGUUUUCUUCAACAGGUUUUGGUUAAAAUGGGUUUCCACAGUACUUGGGUUCCUCUAGUUAUGUCAUGUGUGACUACAGUUUCAAUGGCAAUGCUAGUAAAUGGGUCUCCUGGAAAAACUUUCAAACCUACCAGGCGGCUUCGCCAAGGAGACCCUUUAUCCCCCUUCCUUUUCUUGUUUGUUAACAAUGUGCUUUCUUGCAUGAUAAGAAAGGCUUGCUCGGAGAAUUUGUUGAAUGCAAUAAGGGUAAAUACGGGUGGUCCUCUUAUCAGUCACCUCUUUUUUGCGGAUGACUCCAUCUUCUACCUAAAAGCUUCUCUUGCCGAUUGUGAAGUCCUAUCAGACAUUCUCCUUCACUACUGCUCAGCCUCUAGACAGUCUAUCAAUCUACAAAAAUCCUCUUUGUUCUUCAGUCUAAGCACUAGACUGAAAAUAGUUCACCUGUUAAGUUGGGUGCUUGGGAUGUAGGCGAUGCAAAAUCCAGGGAAUUAUCUAGGUCUCCUUACCAUUUGGGGAAGAUCUAAAGUCUCUGCUUUAAAUUUCAUUAUAGAAAAAAUUGAGGCAAAGAUUAAAGGUUGGAAUCAAUCUACUCUAUCUCAGGCGAGCAAGGAAGUAAUGGUGAAAGCAGUUGCUAUGGCUGUUCCAACAUACUCUAUGUCUAUCUUCAAAUUCCCAAAUUCAGUGUGCAAAAAGAUUAAUUCGGCCUUAUCAAACAUCUGGUGGGGCAACAAUACGAAGAAUGGACUUCACUAGAAAAAGUGGGAAGCUCUGGGAACCCCAAAAUGUCAAGGAGGUAUGGGUUUUAAGAGUAUGACUGAUUUUAACACUACUCUUCUGGCUAAAUUGGGAUGGCGCAUUAUCAACAACCCUCAGGCUUUAUGGGUUCGUGUCCUUAAAAGUAGUUAUUUCCUUUAAACUUCUUUUCUCAAAGCUACCUGCGGAGCCUCUCCUUCUUGGGUUUGGUCGAGCAUCAUUCAUGGCCGCUCUCUGUUGAAAAAAGGUUUGCACUGGAAGAUAGGAAAUGGUCAUUCUAUUGAUUUCUGGAGAGAUAAAUGGAUUACUUCUUUUCCCUCUGAAAGUCUUCAUAGAUUUGCUCCCCCAAACUCUCUUUCAGUACCUGUCUCUCUUUUCAUUAACCAUGAUCAGGCUUCCUGGAAUAUUUCCUCUAUUCUCCUCCUUCUUCCUCAGGAGUACAUCAAUGCAAUCAUGGCAACUUCUUUUGGUACUGCAGCGAAUGAGGACUCCUUGAUUUGGAAAGAAUCCAACACAGGUUUUUACUUAGUAAAGUCUGGUUACAAGAGUUGUAUAUUUGCUCAAGUCACAGCCCUUUCCACCAAUCCUCAUCAGCCACAUUCUUCCCCCAAAGAAUUAUGGAAAUGUGUGUGGGAUCUUCAAGCACCUCCUCGGAUCAUUCACUUUAUUUGGAGAGUUCUUUUUGGAGCUAUUGCCACAAAUCUGGCUAUAAGCAAACGACACAUUGCUCCCUCCUCGCUUUGCCAAAUUUGUGAUAAUCAUUCAGAAUCUAUUGAGCAUGUCAUCUUACUUUGUCCUUGGGCUCAAAAAUGCUGGUUUGUGCAUCCUCUAUCCUACAAGAUAGACGAACAAUCUAUCACUUCCAUGGAUAGAUGGUUCACAGCUCUUUGCAAUCAUUAGUCUCAAAAUAGCUCAAUGGCAAACUCUUUCUUCACUCAUGUUGUUUUCUUACUUUGGUUCAUCUGGAAAGGAAGAUGUGAUUAUGUGUUCAACAAAACUGUCCCUGAUCCAAUCUCAGUUGCUUCAAGAGCUUUCUCAACAGUGGAAGAGUUUUUAAGAGUCCCCAGAAAUUUGUUUUUUCCUAAUCAUAGCUUGGGGACUGUUGAUACUUCAAAUCUCCAGUCUUUCCCCCCCCCCGAAUCAAGGAAUAUUGAAGUUUAACAUAGAUGCAGCUUGGGAUUCUGAUUCCCUCUCCUGUGGUCUUGUUGUAGUGGUUCGAAAUGAGAAAGGUCUUCUUGUUGCUGGAUCCUCAAAGUUAGAUGUUGUGCCAUCUGCCAUUGUUGCAGAAGCCAAAGCCAUUGAUCUUGGCCUCUGUUUAGCUUCUUCUCUCUCCCUCUCCUCUUUUUCGUUGGAAUCAGACUCUCUCUCCCUCAUUUCGGCUUUUCAAAAUCCUUUGUCGCUUGUGGAUUGGUCUGCUUCAACCUUAGUCUCAAGAAUCAAGCGAAAGACCUCAAGUUUCAAGCGAAUUUACUGGUCCUAGACCAACAGAAAGGCAAACUCGGCUACGGACUUUGUGGCCUCUUUGUCUCUGCAGAGGGUGUGCUCUGAAGAUUGGUUUUCCAACCCUCCAUCCUCCCUCAUGCGAAUUUUACUUUUUGAUGCAGCUUCUCCCCCUCCUUAAUGGGGCAGUUUGUCUCCUUUGUGUUUUUGUUUUUAGCUGCUGUUGUUUGUUUUUUCUCUCAAUGAAUUUUUCAUUACCAAAAAAAAAAAAAAGAACCUGAAGACAAGCACAUCAGUUAACAUUUAUUAGGCUGAAAAAAUGGCUAGAUUGGUCUUUACUAUGACAUGUAGAGGUAACUGCAACACUUUAUGUCAUAGUGUACUCUGUAGCUUCCCUUGGAAAGAAAAAAGUAAUGAAAAUAAAACCCUUUUCUAAAGCUGCUUCACAUCUAGUCCCUAAAUAACUGUACCUUCAUUCAGCAGACCAAUAUGGCAAUAUCUAUGUCACAUAUUCAUUCUGAUUUCUGAUUUGAAGAUGAUUCUGAUUCUUCUAGUUUCUCUGCCAACGUCAGAUCAACCGUGAAUGUGAGCAUGCGGGGAUUGGAAGCAACAACAACCAGACAAAUGUUCAUGUAUAAUUGUAUAUCAUAGGUGGGAAACAAAGUUGAGCUCAACGUGGUAACUAAUAUGCUUAAUCAUAAUCAAACUCUCACCUCUUAAGGAUUACAGUUGACCAUCAGUGCCCAGAAACACAAUUCCUCACUAGUCUACUAGAAAGUGAAGCAAGCUCACAAUCAAAGAUAUAAAUUAUGAUGAAACCAGAACUUAGUUCUGGUGACAUACUGAGGCAGUUGAACUGUCAAGGGCUACAUGUAUGAAUGUCAGCACAGAGGCCAAAGAGUAAUGCCACGUGUGUAAGUUCAAAAUAUAACUGUCUACCCUGC
rnacentral:lncRNA from 1 species